rnacentral:rRNA from 1 species
CCUACGGGGGGCAGCAGUGGGGAAUAUUGCACAAUGGGGGCAACCCUGAUGCAGCGACGCCGCGUGAGUGAAGAAGUAUUUCGGUACGUAAAGCUCUAUCAGCCGGGAAGAAAAUGACGGUACCUGACUAAGAAGCCCCGGCUAACUACAUGCCAGCAGCCGCGGUAAUACGGAGGGGGCAAGCGUUCUCCGGAUUUACUGGGUGUAAAGGGAGCGUAGACGGCAGCGCAAGUCUGGAGUGAAAUCCCAUGGCUUAACCAUGGAACUGCUUUGGAAACUGUGCAGCUAGAGUGCAGGAGAGGUAAGUGGAAUUCCUAGUGUAGCGGUGAAAUGCGUAGAUAUUAGGAGGAACACCAGUGGCGAAGGCGGCUUACUGGACUGUAACUGACGUUGAGGCUCGAAAGCGUGGGGAGCAAACAGGAUUAGAUACCCUAGUAGUC